rnacentral:tRNA from 3 species
UGGUAGACGCGGCGGAUUCAAAAUCCGUUUUCGAAAGAAGUGGGAGUUCGAUUCUCCCUCGGGGCACCACC